rnacentral:rRNA from 1 species
AACGCGAAGAACCUUACCGGGGCUUGACAUCGGAGGAACAUCAUAGAAAUAUGGUUUCGGAGCAAUCCGACUUCCAGACAGGUGCUGCAUGGCUGUCGUCAGCUCGUGCCGUGAGGUGUUGGGUUAAGUCCCGCAACGAGCGCAACCCUCGUCGUGUGUUGGUCCGCAAGGAUCUCUCACGCGAGACCGCCGGUGAGAAGCCGGAGGAAGGUGGGGAUGACGUCAAGUCAGCAUGGCCCUUACGUCCCGGGCUACACACGUGCUACAAUGGGUAGGACAACGAGUCGCUAGCUAGUGAUAGUCUGCUAAUCUCUUAAACCUACCCUCAGUUCGGAUUGAAGGCUGCAACUCGCCUUCAUGAAGUCGGAAUCGCUAGUAAACGCAGAUCAGCUACGCUGCGUUGAAUACGUUCCCGGGCCUUGUA